UGGGGCUGUUUGUAGGUUCCCCAGAGACACCCAAACCAGGAGAGACAUCAAACAAAAGCAAGACCAAUGCCAAAGGCCAACUGUGAGGCUGUGUGCAAGGUGUCCUGCUGAAACCCAUGUCAGAUCCAGCAAUCCUGCAAAAGGGCAGACUAGGGGGCAUCUCGGCCAGAGGAAGAGAGGAGGAAGGAGACCAGAAACGAGAGACACAGGAGGAAUCCAGACAGAGAGAGACCGGCUCAGCUGAGCUAAGAUCUUCUUCACUUGGUGGAUGCCUGACCUGCCAGGGGAUGGUCAGCAUGCACUGAAUGAGGAGGACGGCUACAAGCACUCCCACUGUCUGGCCCAGCAGAAGGGAGGUGACCUUGACAGACUGCUCCAAAUGUCAGGGUAGCUGGUGGCAGGACAGCAAUUGGAACUAUGUCAAGGAGCAUGGAUCACUCCAGACAGAGAAGGAAGCAUGAGCCAUAGCAACUGAACUUGUUUAUAACUUGUAUUUCUUGGUAUGUGAGUGACAGGAAGGCAGGAGGUGUCUGAGGCAAGGAGCUCCUGCCUACGCACAAGAGUGCUGGUUUAGCAAAUUUGCCUCCUUGUUGCCUAAAAUACUCCACAUGUAUGUGCUUUACUAUCAUCUCUAGUC